rnacentral:lncRNA from 1 species
CUCAGAUUUUUAUUUUUUGAGAGUUCUAAUAUGCCCCUCGAGACCUUUGAUCUUCUCAUCAUCCUUGGAUUUUAGGCGCUCGAAGGCUAUGAUCUUUCUUUCGGCCCGCCCUAGUUCUUCGUCUCGAUGGAAGAUUGACUCCUGGGCCUCCUGAAGAGCCUCCUCAGUAAAAUUGAGUUCCUUGACUAGCUCAGCAUUAUUCCUCUCUGGCUGCUCUGAUCGGUACUUCAGUAAUUCGAUUUCUUUCUUCUUCAUUAUCGAAACAUCGAGAUUGGAACUUGCAAAGCUUGCCAAAUAUCGGCCCACAUGCGCUAGGGACCUUAAAGCGUUGACAAAUCACUUCUCUCCCCUUUGAUCAUCAAGGAAUAGCCUCUCGACUGACAAUAGG